ACAGAACUGAACCAGCUGGAGGGACUGAAACCCACCUGCAGCUGCUCAAUUGUACGGCUCGCCCUUCCCCUCAGCGCAAAAGACUUUCAAUUGCAAUAUUUGCUUUUGUGUUUAACAGUUUAUUCCCAAAUUAUUAUUUUGUAUUCAAUAGUACACAAUAAAAAGAAUAUAGUGGCUAUCUUUAUAAAGAAGAAUUUGUCUUCUUAAAAUUGAAUUGUGACCGUAAAAAUGGAAUUCAAAUUCAAUGGGGAAUUUGGAGAAUAAUGACCCCCCUCUAACAGGAAUGGUUUGUUCAUUUUUGGGAACAGCGCUCUAUAUUAUUACAGUAUCUAAGCUGCAGAGCCAUCCUUUAUCCUCAUUUAGUGUUCUUGGAGCUGGGAUAAAGUAUCAAUGAACAAAGUGCCAAUUCCAUAGCUGAGCUUCACAACCGAUACGAAGGCAAGUCUUCACGUUCCACUCCAUCAUCCCAAGUAAAAAGGAAAAUAAGAAUGAAUCCUGUAUACCACACACUGCUCCCCGAAAAAAGGAAAAUUUUCACUGGUGCCCAUGCAUGGACACAUUAGCUUAAUUUAAUAAAAGACAAGGCAUGAAAGUCGAACACAGCUCCCUGCUCCAGUGGAUAAAACAAUAGUCGAGCUCAGUCAGGGUGCCAAACAUCUAUUUGAUAUCACCACCCUGACCUCCAUCUACCUCACCAAAAGAACCGUUCUGAUCAAACUGAAUGUAAGUGUGUGUCUAUGUGAGCAACACACUUUUCCCUUCGUCAUGCAGAGGCCCAUGUGAGACACGGUUCACAUCAGCCACGUCAAAACACACACAAGUCCCUUAAAGUCAAAAUGCUGCUGGGCUGAGACUACCUUUUCCCUCCCUUAGCAGCCUUUAGCAGCCCUUUAUCCAUCUUUCCUCAUUCUCUUUUUCAUCCUCGUCCCAUUUUGUCCUCCCUUCAUCUGUUCGUGGCUGCAGUUGCAUUCAAGGUUGUGCGGGGAAAGAUAAUAGAGGAGGAAGUGAACACGUUAGUGGAAAAAGAAAGGUGUUGACGUGACGGAGAAAGGAAACACCACUCAUAAGUAACCUUUAAGCAACAUGGUCAUCAACACCUCCAUUACAAACCAUUCUGUAUGAGCAGCUCUAUUCAUCGUUCAGGGCCCACACUCCUCUUCAAGAAGACAGAAUAGCAGAAAAAGACCUGUGUUUUCUUUUAGACAAUAGUCUGUCACCAUCAUCUCUACCACCGGCUGUUUGUUAGGCUCUUAGGCAUUAAAAUGAUCUGCCUGAAUACGUUACAGAGGAGGAAGUGAGCUGCUUUAACAUUGCAGGUCAAAACUGAACAGGUAUCCUAAAAAGACAGAUAUAUUCCUGACACGUGUUACACUCUACUUUGCUGGACAUAAUUGAUUGAGACCAUCUGCGUCCUCCGUAGUUGUCAAAAUCUUGCAGGUAAAGAAAUACUGUACGAGUACUCAAAUACUGAAAACAUCUGCACUUAUUUGCAAUCUUGAGUUCGUUAAUAAAUAACGCUGUAAGUUUUAUCAUGGAUGUAAGUAGCUCCUUGAUUCACUUUUUCUUAAUGCAAUUCAAUCAAAUGUUGUAAAGAUCGGCUGACCUCCUCGACCUUAUCUCUGUUUAAUUUACAGAAGAAUAUGCAUACAUGGUUUUGACAAAAUUAUGUAAAUUGGAUACUCCUUUUUCUAUGUGUGUCUACUUCAAAUUGACCUAAUAACUGUAGUUGAAAUAAUACGACUGUUUCGUGGUUCAAAUGGGAAAAAUCUAAAAGACACAGUCAUUAACACCUUAACAGUUGUAAUGGAAAAACUGAUUUGUUACGGUUCUGAAAAUAGAUCCUCUUUCCCUACCUAUUAUUAUAGCUUGGAAACAUAUUAUCUUACAGGUAUCACUUUAAAAAAGUCUCUUACACACUUUGCUAACAAGACCCGCUAAGAAUGAGAAGAGACAGACAGAAGCCCUAAUUACAAAGGUGCAUAUAUUACUACACACCAACCCCUGCUGCUCCAAAACUAAUUAAUUAUCCUGUACAACAGACAUUUUCAUCAACCCGUUUCCUUUAGGCUUGGACUAGUCCAAAGUUAACUUCCUAUAUAGCAUAUUACCUCCAAUUAUGGUAUAAAUACCAGACAAUGCAGAGUAGAAAUAAAUCAGCACGGACAAGUGUCAAAUAACGUACCAGCGUGUGUACACUGAAUUGGAUGAAAAGUAAUCACAAAGUAAGACAGCGUUAGCCUGAUAAGUAAGACAAGAUGUGCAACAAUGAAACCGAUAUUACACGUUUACACAACACAGAUGUGUGUGAAACCUUUUUUUGUUCAGUCUGAAAACCUCUAUAGGGCCAUAUAUAGAUUUAGGUUCACCAAUCCCUAAUUCCUUAUCUAUCUGGUAAGAAACCAAAGGGAUUUGCUGAGCGGUACAGAAAAGUCUGUUUUAAGUUCAUAGCUGCAACAAAACAAUAGCUUUGUGUUUUAAACACGUGCUUCCACAACAAAAACACCCAUAUUAAGCUAAAUACACUCCUUUUCUCCAUUUCCAAGUGACUUGUGUUAACUAUAGGAAGAAUUGGGCUGUACGAAUUCACAAGGACCAGACGGAUCCACACAGAUCAACGUGUACCACACCUAAAUAUCUUGUGCAAAUAGGAGCUCAAGUCAAUUUCAGCCGGGGUCGUGCAUGGUGACGCUCCCUCUGAUAUUGUAGUGGUCACAGUCAGUCUGUGUGUGUGUACACGAGCGGAUCCAGUCCAGGG
ensembl:lncRNA